rnacentral:rRNA from 1 species
GAUGAACGCUGGCGGCGUGCUUAACACAUGCAAGUCGAACGGGAAUUACUUUAUUAAAACUUCGGUGGAUUUAAUUUAAUUCUAGUGGCGGACGGGUGAGUAACGCGUGGGUAACCUGCCUUGUACAGGGGGAUAACAGUCAGAAAUGACUGCUAAUACCGCAUAAGCGCACAGGACCGCAUGGUCCAGUGUGAAAAACUCCGGUGGUAUAAGAUGGACCCGCGUUGGAUUAGCUGGUUGGUGGGGUAACGGCCUACCAAGGCGACGAUCCAUAGCCGGCCUGAGAGGGUGAACGGCCACAUUGGGACUGAGACACGGCCCAGACUCCUACGGGAGGCAGCAGUGGGGAAUAUUGCACAAUGGGGGAAACCCUGAUGCAGCGACGCCGCGUGAAGGAAGAAGUAUCUCGGUAUGUAAACUUCUAUCAGCAGGGAAGAA